GACAGGGGCUCCCAGGGCCCACCCAACCUGGCUCUGGAGAUGUAGGGUUACCCAUUUCUCAGCUGCCUUAUAGGCACUUAUUUAUAGCUUGACAAAUUAUCUUUUUUACUUACUAUUAACAAGUCAGGCUGAGAAAGAAGAACUUCAAAGCAAUCAAGGCACAAUCCUGUUCUGCCACCUCUUUUGAGAAGGCAAUAAUUGACACCCAAAUAGCACAUGCAGCACUGGCCACUUCAGUCUCUCAAGCAGAAAGUGGAUGCUUCAAGCGAAUUGUGCAAGAAGAUUAAGGGAGAAAUAUAAAAAGGGGAAGAAAAAUAGUGAAUGAAGAAGCCAAGUAACCACAGAGAAAAUAAACAACGCAUGCCAGAGGACACUAAGAAAAAUGCCCAGCUUUGACCCACAAAGCAAAGGACUCAUUCCCUGUUCUGCUCCAACAAAAUCUUUCUACUCGAGGACUUAGCCAGAACUCUGACCACCUGGACAGCCAGGUUCCCUAAGACUUUAGCAUGCAUGGUAUGUUAAUCUCAUACAGCAUGCUCAUGGGACCAAAGAAAUCCUCUUUCCAUGCUUGGCUCCUCCGAAAGGUUACUGAGAAGCAUUUGGUAAUGAAGAGACUACAUGUCCUACCCAAGUCCUUUGGCAAAGGAAGACAGAAUUUGUGUAUGGUAUUAUUUUGGAAGUGAAAUUUUAAGCUUCUGUUGUGUAGCAUUAAGUAAAUAGUUAAGGAUAAAGCUGUUUUUAAUUAAUAUAUACAUAUAUAUAAAUAGGUAGAAAGAUACAGAUUAGUUUUUCACUUUAGCAAACCUAAAAGAAUCUUCUAUAAUAUCUCCUAAUUCUCAGGAAGUAGCUAUUUCUUUUCAGUGAUCCUGUCACCUUCUGUCAGCAUCCCUCUACCUUUCUUCAUCCUCUUAAUUAGUGACUGCAUGCUCUGCCUUUGUUCUCUCUACUCCCCUUUAAGCUGGAAAAAUAACAUCGGAGGAAUCCCGGAGAAGGCUUUGUACCUGCACAGAAGGGUGUCACAAAUAGCUUGUUAAUGUUUUGAAAAGUGACUAAUAAGUAGCUACAAUGGAUAACCUUUCAGCACACUGCCUAAUUUGUUAAAAGCUUAAUCAGUUUAAUGGGGGAUAGUUUAGUACCAGCACAGAAAGAACAAAUUGAAACUAAUACCAGCAAUGCCAUUCCUCUGCACCUCUACAACCAAGGGUUUUCUCCCCAGAUGUCAGCACUCAAUGGAAUCUACUGAAGUGCCAAGGCCUAAGUUAGAUGUAAAACCUGAGUUCAUGAAGUAUGCUCAGCAGAAAACACUGAAAUUAAAACAUUUCAGCCCAAACUCCUCAGGUAUAAAUAAAUGUCAUCUUCAGGGAAUAUCCUCUAUCAGUUAGAUCCAACAAAAACUAAUUUCUCAAUUUUGUGCACCUAUCUUAUCAUUACAAUCUUAUUUGUAAUCCCUGUUUUCUUAUGGUAUGUUCAACAUUAACAAAGCAGUGGAAAUACCGAAUACUUUACCAUUGGUCUGUCCCUGCCAAUACGCCUAACAAAGUUGAAACCUGAGCAGUGGUAAGAGACCUCAGUGUAAAUACUAUUCACACCCACUGCUACAUCUGCCAGUGCUGAUUUUCAAAACCAGAGAUGAAGACACACAAAUUUAACACAAUUAAGCAAAAUGACUUGUUUACAGAAGAUACCUUCCCACUUACCAGUUCCUCAAAUCUCAAUGUAUUUCAUACCUAAGGGGAACACACGUACUACUAACAUGAGCUUUAUUGAUAUAUAUAUUGCAUGGUAAAGAGACUCCUAUUAGUUCCAGUCUUCCAGCCUGGGAUGCAACAUGACUGCAGAAGAAGUAGCAUUACAAUUCUAAAUCCUUCUGGUGGAAAAUUACCCAAGGCUAAUUAUU